rnacentral:rRNA from 1 species
GACGAACCUUGCUAACGUUAUUCGGAAUUACUGGGCUUAAAGGGUGCGUAGGCGGUGCAGCAAGUCGGGUGUGAAAGCCCUCAGCUCAACUGAGGAAUUGCGCCCGAAACUGCUGUGCUUGAGGAAUACAGAGGUAUGCGGAACUAGGGUGGAGCGGUGAAAUGCGUUGAUAUCGUAAGGAACACCUGUGGCGAAAGCGGCUUACUGGGUCUUUUCUGACGCUGAUGCACGAAAGCCAGGGGAGCAAACGGG